CUCUACAGAGACUUCUACAGCACAGAGAUCCAACCAUGGCACCUACAAGCAGAUCAGGAAUGAUCAACUCUGAGGAGCAUCUGAGUCCCAACCACAAGGCACAGAAAGCCUCUGGUGGAGAAGUUACGUAGAAAGCAAAUCAACAGCCGCAUCGAAAGACUUAAGUUUCUUCAGAGUUAAUAGUUCCUCAAAGCUGCCAGACUCCAAACAGAAGAAAGCAUAUAUCCUGGAGAUGCUUUCAGACAACUGCAGCAGCAGCAUCCAGCCGUGGACUCAGCAGCUGUUGAUCAGGGCUACUCCAAAUGUAUCCAAUAGGUGGAUCACUUCUUGUCAAAAGAUAAGCUGAAGACACAAUCCCAGAGAAGACUGCUGAACCCCUUCAACAAGCUGCAGACCUUCUCUGCGAAGAAUUUGAAGGAGGCUGACGUCUCUCUUCUGUGUCCAGCCCAGCAUCAGUAAAAGCAGGAGACCAGUAAACAGCGCCCGGAGGCAGUGGUAGAGACCUACAGGCUGGAGUGGCCGAGAUAAAUUUACUAUGCCAUAUUGGUAAAUCAUUAUUGAUUGAUUUAUAUAUAGUCAUAUGGACUGCUUCUUCUGAAGGAACAGAAGAAUAUAUUUCUUGAUGCACUUUAAUGCAUAGAAUUACUUUUCCUGUGGAAAUUACAUAAAUAUUUGUUCUUUUAACAAAGAAUUAUGUGUUGCAUGAACAAAAUAUGAUUGCAUCUGCAAUUGUGAUUCCUUUGUAUUUUUAUGAUCACAUUUAUGGUUGUUCAUUCCUGAUCAUAUUCAUCAAAUUGUCAAUGUUCUCACUUCUUUUCUGAGGAUAAAUGAUCUUAGUGAACUUCCUCUCACAAAAAUCUGUUAGGAGAUCUAAGUGAUUAUUUAUUGUUCUUCAUUUUACUGUAUUUUUGAAAUUCAAAACUAUUUUUUUUAGAGACGUUUAUUCUUCUUGGCAUGUCACCUGUUGUUACACUACAGCAAACAGACUGUUGUUGCAGACACAUGAAGAAGAUCAUUUUGGUUAAAGUAAACUGGACUAAACUUGUUUAAAUUCUGUUUAAUUAAUAUUUCUGUUGAAAUAUUUUUUAAUUCUUUAUUUUUAUAUUUUGUGAGGAAAUGACAAUAUCUUUCAAAAUGAGAAGGACAAUAAUUUUACCACUGAACAAUAAUAGACCAUGUUGGUUUGAAUUAAUGCAGCUGAAUUGUUUUUCUGUAUGCACAGGAAGUUCUUUAAUUUGGUAUGCAUAUUUUAAAGGCCAUUCUUUAUGCAAUGGUGGAUUGUUUAGAAUUGAUCUUCUGACAGAUCUAAAAGUUAUUUUUAUUCAUUUUAUCUGAAAGGAUAUUCUUUCAGCAUGAGAUUGUCUUGGCUGUAAAGAUAUUUAAAUUUUCGGUUUUUUAUUUUUAUGUAUUGGAUUUUAUUUUUUUAUAAACAUGCUAUGCACAACCAUAAACCUAAAACCUGAUCUGUUCUGAGGUUAGUUCUGUCUUUAAAACUUCUGUAAAGUGCAGAUUUUGCACACCUUAAAAUAUUUUCUAUGAAAAAAUUAAGAAUGAUUUUUGUCAUUAUGAUUUAGUCUUUUGUAAAGACAGUCGUUCCUCCACUCAUUUUGUGUGUCAAGUGUCUCGGAGAUUUUUCCAAGUAUUGUUGUAAUGUAUAAUCAUGUUACUGUCAUAAUUUUGAUUGAAUUUGUUUUUAUUAAAAACAAAGCACAAAAAAAAA